GAAAGGACUAGGUUUUCCUCAAUGGAAGAACAUGGCAGGUAUUCCAUCACAGCCAAAUGACAAACAGUGUGGCUAUUUUGUGAUGAGAUAUAUGAGGGACAUCAUACAUGAUACAAACUUGGGUUUUGCAGAAAAGUGGGGUAGGAGAGCUAACCAUGUUUAUAGUCAAGUGGAAAUUGAUGAAGUCCGUAAUGAGCUCGCAAAUUAUGUGUUGAAGAACAUCCUGAAGUUGUAAAGUCUGCAGUUGCU